rnacentral:rRNA from 1 species
AUGUAUUGUGCGCUCACGCAUUCGGAGGUACCGGUGAGUAAUAAUAAGAAAAUUUGGAGAUCAAAGAUACCAAACAAAGUUAAAGUCUUCAUGUGCUGUCUUCGUAGGGGAGUUGUUCUAACCAAAGACAACCUCGCACGGUGCACUUGGCAAGGGAGUAAGAAGUGUUGUUUUUGUACUCAUGAUGAGACCAUCAGACACCUCUUUUUCCAUUGCAACUUUGCACGUUCUACGUGGUCAGUCAUCCAAAUAGCAUCAAGUUUAUAUCCGCCCACAAGUGUUGCCAAUAUUUUUGGUCAUUGGUUGGACGGUAUUUCAAAUAGGUUCAAAACGCUAUUAAGGGUGGGAGUGUAUGCCUUACUAUGGUCGCUUUAG